CAUGGCACAUGAAGAAAUGCUUGAAGACAAUGGCCUUAUUCAUGAGCUUGUAAAAAGAAGUCCAUGUUCUGGAAGACGAUGCCAUUCCAACUAUCAGUGCUGUAGAGGUUGGAAGUGCUAUAACAGGAAAUGUAGGCUCUAUGGUGGUUAAUGGGUUCGGCUAUCCAUUAUUUACAGGUUCUUACCAAGAAAUUAUUAUCUUUUAACUAAAGGACUUGUAAAAAUGAAUAUCAGAUGAAAUGAAAUAAAAAUCUGUAAUUUGUUUCUGAA